rnacentral:misc_RNA from 1 species
GCGGGGUGGAUACCAUUUAGGAGUCUGGACCAAUUUAGCCGCGGAAUAUAACCGUUGCUUGUUUGGAGUACGUACGCUGGGGGACAUCGUAAUUGUUAUUGGUUCACUUAAAGAAGAUCGCGGUCGGAAGUAACCGGACAUGCAGCCUGAUUAAUCAAGGCGCGCUGAUUAGAGACUCCACGGAAAAUUCGUGUCCGCAAUUACACGCUCA